rnacentral:rRNA from 1 species
GAGGGGGCGAGCGUUGUUCGGAAUUACUGGGCGUAAAGGGUUCGUAGGUGGCCAACUAAGUCAGACGUGAAAUCCCUCAGCUUAACUGGGGAACUGCGUCUGAUACUGAUUGGCUUGAGUGCAGGAGAGGAACGCGGAAUUCCAGGUGUAGCGGUGAAAUGCGUAGAUAUCUGGAGGAACACCGGUGGCGAAGGCGGCGUUCUGGACUGCAACUGACACUGAGGAACGAAAGCCAGGGGAGCAAACGGG